rnacentral:tRNA from 1 species
GGGUCUGUAGCUCAGUUGGUUANNAGGGGACUCAUAAUCCCUUGGUCCAGGGUUCGAGUCCCUGCGGACCCACCA